rnacentral:rRNA from 1 species
GUAGGGAAUAUUGCACAAUGGAGGAAACUCUGAUGCAGCGACGCCGCGUGAGUGAUGAAGGCCUUCGGGUCGUAAAGCUCUGUUGCAGGGGAAGAACACAAUGACGGUACCCUGCUAGAAAGGAUCGGCUAACUUCGUGCCAGCAGCCGCGGUAAGACGAGGGAUCCUAGCGUUGUUCGGAAUUAUUGGGCGUAAAGCGGGUGCAGGUGGCUUGGUAAGUCAGAUGUGAAAGCCUGGGGCUUAACCCCAGAAGUGCAUUUGAUACUGCUGAGCUUGAGUGCUGGAGAGGCUAUUAGAAUUCCUGGUGUAGUGGUGAAAUACGUAGAUAUCAGGAGGAGUACCGGAGGCGAAGGCGGAUAGCUGGCCAGACACUGACACUCAGACCCGAAAGCGUGGGGAUCAAACAGGAUUAGAUACCCCAGUAGUCC